ensembl:snRNA U6 U6 spliceosomal RNA
GUGCUCGCUUCGGCAGCACAUAUACUAAAAUUGGAACAAUACAGAGAAUCAUGGCCCCUGCGCAAAGAUAUGUGAGAAAAGCCCCCUCUAAUU